CAAAUAGAAUUGCUUCCUUUGGGCUUAAACCGGAUUGGCAGCAACACAGAUUCUGCUGUGCGCUGAAGUCAUUUUCUACUUUGGCACUACUCAGUCCACGGGGAAUGGUGGAGUCAUGAUUUAGCAGCAAGAUUCUGGGAGCAGGCCAGCAUCUACAUCUGUUCUGAACUGGAUAUCUUUGGUUGAGAGAGGAAAUGGAAAAGAUGUACCACGAGGAAAGCUGAGUAUUCUACAGAAGCAGGCACGAGGAACCACCAGGGCAAAGACAAGAAUGAGGAGAAUUGAGAAGAAAGGCUGGAAUGUGUCAAUGCCAACAGAGGGCUGAAAUUAUCCCGCAUCCAACCACCAAAGACUACCGUGUUUUGGGACAUGAAGAAUCUGGCACUAGCAGUCUGACAUCACAGUGCGGUACCAAUUACCUCCACCUUAUUUUUGUUUCCCAUAUAUAUUACGAAACACUUCCUUUAAUAAAAAGGGCUCUCUUCGUCUAUGCAAAAUAUUCUAAUUCAAGGACCUAACUGCCACACAUAGUACAUGGCCUAGAAUACAAGUUCAGUUUCAAACACUUGAAAGUGGGGCAUGGGGGCCUCCUUUU
rnacentral:lncRNA from 1 species